rnacentral:rRNA from 1 species
AUUGAACGCUGGCGGCAUGCCUUACACAUGCAAGUCGAACGGCAGCAUGGGUGCUUGCACCUGAUGGCGAGUGGCGAACGGGUGAGUAAUGCAUCGGAACGUACCCGGAAGUGGGGGAUAACGUAGCGAAAGUUACGCUAAUACCGCAUAUUCUGUGAGCAGGAAAGUGGGGGAUCGCAAGACCUCGCGCGUCCGGAGCGGCCGAUGUCGGAUUAGCUAGUUGGCGGGGUAAAGGCCCACCAAGGCAACGAUCCGUAGCGGGUCUGAGAGGAUGAUCCGCCACACUGGGACUGAGACACGGCCCAGACUCCUACGGGAGGCAGCAGUGGGGAAUUUUGGACAAUGGGGGCAACCCUGAUCCAGCCAUGCCGCGUGAGUGAAGAAGGCCUUCGGGUUGUAAAGCUCUUUCGGCCGGGAAGAAAUCGCACAGGUUAAUACCUUGUGUGGAUGACGGUACCGGAAUAAGAAGCACCGGCUAACUACGUGCCAGCCGCCGCGGUAAAAC